UCCAUCGCGAGGUGAAAUCUGAAGGAAGCCGGCGGCAAAAAACCGGCCUGACGGACAGAAACUGCAUAUGAGGCGAAAAUGGGCGGGACGUAUUUCCAGUUCGUGGUAAGGAUGCGCGAUGAC
rnacentral:ncRNA from 1 species